UCGAUCCGGCAUUGUUUGAAAUACAACCGUGGAAGCAACUUUGCUCUUCUAAAAAACUCGUUUUUUUAAUCACAAGGCUAACUACGUUGUUUGUCCAUCUCAGGACGUUCUCUCUCCAAUUGAUGCACCGGCAUCUGUGCUUCAACGCAUGCUACAUGUUCAAUCUGGACUAUACAUUAUUGUACACGCUGAUUGGAGCUUCGACGACUUACAUGGUUAUCUUGAUCCAGUUCGAUUUGGCCAAACCCGCGGAUCCAGCGGGCUGCAACAGCACUGCAUAACAAGUUAUUAUUUUUUUUUAUUAUUUCACUAAUCAACAGAUAAAGUAACGCACGCUUCUUAUGAAAUAAGGAAU